rnacentral:rRNA from 1 species
UACAGAGGGUGCGAGCGUUGUCCGGAAUCACUGGGCGUAAAGGGCGCGUAGGCGGUUCAGUAAGUCGGGUGUGAAAACUUUGGGCUUAACCCAAAGCGUGCAUCCGAUACUGCUGUGACUUGAGUACGGUAGGGGAGCGGGGAAUUCCUAGUGUAGCGGUGAAAUGCGCAGAUAUUAGGAGGAACACCGGUGGCGAAGGCGCCGCUCUGGGCCGAAACUGACGCUGAGGAGCGAAAGCAUGGGUAGCAAACAGG